rnacentral:misc_RNA from 1 species
GAAAAUCAGUUACCUACAGGCUAGACAAGUAGAUAUUGGAUCUUUGAGGAAAAUGUGACUGUGAUAUAUAUUUUAAAAUGAUUAUUCUGUGAUAACAAGUCAAAAUCCCAGUGGAAAACCAGGUAGAACUCUCAAAACUUCAAACCAGUCAAAUCUAAAGAGAAAGAGAAGUUUCUUUAUUGUAUGCACAACUUAUUAUUAUUUGAUUAUUGUUUGCAGUGCUAUGUGUGUGUGUUAUAUUUAUCCUUUUAUUGUGCCAUUUUAUCGUACUGUAAAUACCAGCUUACAGCCCACUGUGAGUUUAUUCAUACAAUCAUAUCCAAUUAUCCUGCGUGCUCUGCAAUUUUCAAUGCAAUUGUCUUUGUCAGUGUCUCAAUGUACCGACUUUAUGUUUCUUAUAUCAUUGUAACUUGUAUUUAGAUGUGUAUGAUUGAACAAUAUGCCUUAAAAAUCAGGUACAUGUAACUGUCAAGUAUUGGCCAAACACCAGUGUAAAUGUACAAUACAUGCUUAUUUUUGUAACUGGUUUAAGAGGGUAUUUUUAUUUUUGGUUUUGUUUUUGGUUUUGUUAGAGAAUUUAUUUUCAAAUACAUGUAGUACAAAUACAUGUCUUACCCAUUGAUUAGAUAUUACAAAUUUUGGUAGCUAUCACUUCUAAAUCUAUAUUAAUAUAUGUAAAACUGUAUAUUCUUCCUUUGAUUGCCUUGAGUACUCAGUAAUAUGCCUGAAUUUUAGAUUUGAGUAAUUUUUUUCAAGAGUUUGGAUCCACAUUUUUCACAAUGUCUUAUAUUGGUAUUCAUUUGUGUUGAUAUUUGCUGAUAAGUUAUUCUGCAGAUUUUUUCCCCUGUCUUUGAGAAUGCAUUUUAUCCACCUGGAUUUGUAUGUUACAGUCUUGAUUUGUUUUUAGCCCUUGAACUCUUCUGGUCAAAGUUUGUAUGUCAUCUAACUGCAUGCAUGUACAGGUUAGUUCUGGCAAAUCUUUUUCAAAUUUUGGUUUUUAAUUCUUUUCAACCUCAGAGUUAAUGUCUGCCUCCUUUGAGCUUAAAAAGGACACAGAAGAUGGUAAAAAUUUUGAAAUAUAAAAAUAAAUGUAGAUCAUAAAGAAAAAAAAAUAUUUUAGAAAAUAAUAAUUUAGAAUCAAAGUUUAUUAUUAUUAGAAUUAUAGAAUUAUGUUUAUGAAAUAGUGCUUUUUUGGUAUUAGUGAUCUAGGCUUAGUCAAAGUGGUUAGGCCUAAGCUUAGGGCAUUGUUGUUCAGGUGAGCAAUGUGGCCCAUGGGACUGUUGAACCUAUUUAUUUUGGUCAUUAUAUUGUUAAUGUGAGCAAUGUGGCCCAUGGGCUCCUUGUUUGUACUUACCUGUUUUGGUCAUUGUUGUUCAGGUGAGCAAUGUGAUCUAUUAUCCUUCUGCAACAGUUAUUUUUUUUUUCUGUUAUUACCUCAGUGCUAUGUCAAUCACAUUAAUAACUACAUCUGUAUUAUUUAAGAUGGCCCCGUGUUAUAUGCAUUAUUCAUGUAUAUGUCUAAUAAAAACAAUGGUGUAUUUAUGUUCACAGUAUUUAUGAGAAAUCAGAUGAAUAUACAUAUUUUAAAAACGAAACCUUUAAGAAAUUCCACAGUAAGCGUUUUUUGCUAUUGCUAUCUUUAAGGACCAAAUUAUUAAGUUUUUAUGAUACAUUGAAAAAUUUACACCUGUUGUAAUUGUAAGCAGGUGACAAAUGAAAUAAAUCCUCUGUCAAC